AACGAACGCUGGCGGCAGGCCUAACACAUGCAAGUCGAACGCACCGCAAGGUGAGUGGCGCACGGGUGAGUAACACGUGGGAAUGUACCCUUUGGUUCGGAAUAACGUCUGGAAACGGACGCUAAUACCGGAUGAGCCCUGCGGGGGAAAGAUUUAUCGCCAAAGGAGCAGCCCGCGUCUGAUUAGCUAGUUGGUGGGGUAAAGGCCUACCAAGGCGACGAUCAGUAGCUGGUCUGAGAGGAUGAUCAGCCACACUGGGACUGAGACACGGCCCAGACUCCUAUGGGAGGCAGCAGUGGGGAAUAUUGGACAAUGGGCGGAAGCCUGAUCCAGCCAUGCCGCGUGAGUGAUGAAGGCCUUCGGGUUGUAAAGCUCUUUCGCACGCGACGAUGAUGACGGUAGCGUGAGAAGAAGCCCCGGCUAACUUCGUGCCAGCCGCCGCAGUAACAC
rnacentral:rRNA from 1 species